AGGGAAUCUUCCGCAAUGGACGAAAGUCUGACGGAGCAACGCCGCGUGAGUGAUGAAGGUUUUCGGAUCGUAAAGCUCUGUUGCCAGGGAAGAACGUCCUGUAGAGUAACUGCUGCAGGAGUGACGGUACCUGAGAAGAAAGCCCCGGCUAACUACGUGCCAGCAGCCGCGGUAAUACGUAGGGGGCGAGCGUUGUCCGGAAUUAUUGGGCGUAAAGCGCGCGCAGGCGGCUGUUUAAGUCGGGUGUUUAAUCCUGGGGCUCAACCCCGGGUCGCACUGGAAACUGGACAGCUUGAGUGCAGAAGAGGAGAGUGGAAUUCCACGUGUAGCGGUGAAAUGCGUAGAGAUGUGGAGGAACACCAGUGGCGAAGGCGACUCUCUGGGCUGUAACUGACGCUGAGGCGCGAAAGCGUGGGGAGCAAAC
rnacentral:rRNA from 1 species